rnacentral:rRNA from 1 species
GACAGGGGAUGCAAGCGUUUAUCCGGAAUGAUUGGGCGUAAAGCGUCUGUAGGUGGCUUUUUUUAAGUCCGCCGUCAAAUCCCAGGGCUUACCAACCGUGACAGGCGGUGGAAACUACCAAGCUGGAGUACGGUAGGGGCAGAGGGAAUUUCCGGUGGAGCGGUGAAAUGCGUAGAGAUCGGAAAGAACACCAACGGCGAAAGCAACUCUGCUGGGCCGACACUGACAUGAGAGACAAAAGCUAGGGGGAGCAAAUGGGG